CAACGACACUCUGGAGAGACCGGCCGCCCUCGCGGCAGCGCCGGCGCCGAAGGGGCACGAAGCACGCGACCUCCUCGUCGGCGCGCUUCCAAACUCUCAGGCAAAAGGACAGAGGGGCAUCC
rnacentral:ncRNA from 2 species